rnacentral:lncRNA from 1 species
AUGCCGGGAGACGGCGUUCCCGCCAGGGAUAGAACCCGGGCGGCGACUAAAGCCGGAGUUCGGAGCUCCGUCUCCUCGACUGCCGUGGCGCCGCUGGUUACCGACCCACUGAAGAGCUUUGUGUUAUUCUUGGAAAAUUUCGCACCACUUGUGAAUUCCUUGAACCUGGGCAUUGCAAACCCACUUCUGUUGGGCCCAUCUCCUUUGCACUUUGCUCAGAUUAAGACUCAGUUGGCGCUGCAGCAGCUGAAUGCCAUUGCCUCACAUAGUUCAACACCACCUUAUACUUUAUUAAAUCAGGCUUUCUUGAAAAUAGCCAUGUCGAGACCCAGGUUUAAUCCUCGAGGAAACUUUCCACUUCAGAGGCCACGAGCACCUAACCCUUCUGAGAUGAGGCCUCCAGGACCAUUUAUGAGGCCUGGAUCUAUGGGUCUUCCAAGAUUUUACCCAGCAGGGAGAGCCCGUGGAAUUCCACACAGAUUUGCCUGCCAUGAAUCUUAUCAGAAUAUGGAACCACAGAGAAUGAAUGUUCAGGUAACUCAACACCAAACUGAUCCAAGAUUGACCAAAGAAAAAUUGGAUUUUCAUGAAGCACAACAAAAGAAGGAGAAGCCUCAUGGUAGCCGAUGGGAUGAUGAGCCUCAUAUAUCUGCAUCAGUGGGAGUGAAGCAGAGUUCUGUAACGCAGGUUACAGAGCAGAGUCCUAAAGUACAGAGCCGCUAUACAAAAGAGAGUGCCUCAAGUAUCCUAGCAAGUUUUGGAUUAUCUAAUGAAGACUUAGAAGAACUCAGUCGCUAUCCUGAUGAACAGCUAACUCCUGAAAAUAUGCCAUUAAUCUUGAGGGAUAUAAGAAUGCGGAAAAUGGGGCGCCGAUUACCUAAUUUACCUUCUCGGAGCAGAAAUAAAGAAACACUUGGUAAUGAGGCAGUUUCGAGUAACGUGAUUGAUUAUGGGCAUGCAAGCAAAUAUGGCUACACAGAAGAUCCACUUGAAGUACGUAUUUAUGAUCCUGAAAUUCCAACUGAUGAGGUCGAGGAUGAAUUUCGGUCACAGCCAAGUAUUUCUGCAUCUGUUCCUGCUCCAAAUGUGAUGUGUAAUUCUAUGUUUCCUGUUGAAGAUGUGUUCCGACAGAUGGACUUCCCCAGUGAGUCCUCCAGUAAUCAGUCCUUUUUCCCAGUUGAGAGUGGAAGCAAGAUGUCAGGUUUACACAUUUCAAGAGGACAGUCAGUCCUUGAACCUGUAAAAUCUGUCAGCCAGUCCAUUAGCCAGACAGUUAAUCAGACAAUGAGUCAGUCUCUGAUUCCUCCUUCUAUGAACCAGCAACCUUUUUCAUCGGAAUUAAUUUCAACUGUAAGCCAACAAGAGCGGAUCCCACGUGAACCUGUCAUUAAUUCAUCUAAUGUACAUGGAUCGGGAGGAAGUAAAAAGAAUUACCAGUCAGAGGCUGACAUCCCCAUUCGGUCUCCCUUUGGGAUUGUGAAAGCUUCAUGGCUACCAAAGUUUUCGCAUGCUGAUGCCCAGAAGAUGAAGAGACUUCCAACUCCUUCUAUGAUGAAUGAUUAUUAUGCAGCAUCUCCAAGAAUAUUUCCACAUUUGUGUUCUCUGUGUAACGUAGAAUGUAGUCAUUUGAAGGAUUGGAUUCAGCAUCAAAAUACAUCUACUCAUAUUGAGAGUUGCCGACAGUUACGUCAACAAAAUGAAGGCAAUAGAAAAGAAAAUGAAACUCCAAGAAGACGAUCUCAUUCCCCCAGUCCAAGGCAUUCUAGGAGAUCAAGCUCGAGUCACAGAUUUCGUCGAUCUCGAAGCCCUGUACGUUGUAUGUAUAGACCAAGAAGCCGAAGUCCAAGAAUUUGCCAUCGUUUUAUUCCUAGAUACAGAUCCAGAUCCCGUUCACCGUAUCGAAUGAGAAAUCCAUUUAGAGGUAGUCCAAAAUGCUUUCGAUCAGUUAGCCCUGAAAGGACAUCAAGGAAAUUGGAGAGAUCAUCAGAUAGAAAAAAAGCAUUAGAAGAUGUAAUACAACGGUCUGGGCAUGAGUCAGAAUUCAGUAAACAGAAGCAUCUUGAAGCAGCUGAUAAAGGACACUCACCAGCACAAAAACUUAAAACUGGCAGUGGAGCAAAGACAUCAGUUAAAUCUACAAGUUCUGCAAAGAAUGAUUCAAAUAUAGGAGGACAUUGUACUCGUUACAAAUUAAAGAAUCUUGAAGAUGAUACCCCAUCAGAAAGUAAACAGAUGGCUGAUAAAACUGUUUCUCUGCCACGUAAGCUUCGGAAGGACCAGUCUUCACAUUAUGGUCCUGUUCUUCUGAUAUCUGAAUUACCAGAAGAUGGCUGUACUGAAGAAGAAAUUAGAAAAAUAUUUCAACCGUUUGGAAAAGUUAAUGAUGUCCUGAUUGUUCCAUACAGAAAGGAAGCUUACUUGGAAAUGGAAUUUAAAGAAGCAAUUACUGCAGUCAUGGAGUACAUUGAAACAACACCUCUUCUGAUAAAAGGGAAAAGUGUGAAAAUAUGUGUUCCAGGAAAGAAAAAGUCACAGAACAAAGAAGUGAAGAAAAAGAUGUCAGAUUCAAAGAAAACAUCUGCAUCUACUUUAAAAAAAGAUACAGAUGCUUCCACAGGUAUUGAAACUGUGACUGCAGCUUCUACUACCAAAACUGGACAAACCAAGACAUCUGCAACCAAAGUAAAUAAAUCUUCAGGGAAGUCAGCGGGUUCUGUCAAAUCUGUGGUAACAGUAGCUGCUAAAGGUAAUAAAGCUUCAAUCAAAACAGCAAAAUCUGGUGGAAAGAAGUCUCUGGAAGUCAAAAAGACUGGAAUUGUCAAGAACAAAGACACCAGUAAAUCUGUGAAUGUACCAGAAAGCUCUGAAAUGAAGACAAAUGUGGAAGUCAAAACCACUGAAAAUGGAGCUAAAGAAACUAUUUCAGCUGCUUUGGAGGCCACAGAAAAUGAACCAGUCAACAAGGAAACAGAAGAAAUGUGUAUGGUACUUAUUUCUGAUUUGCCUAGUAAAGGAUAUUCUGUUGAAGAAGUUUCCAACCUUGUAAAACCAUUUGGUGGUUUAAAGGAUAUUUUGAUUUUAUCAUCUCAUAAAAAGGCAUUUAUAGAAAUAAAUAGAAAAUCUGCAGAUUCUAUGGUAAAAUUUUAUACCUGCUUCCCAAUAUCAAUGGAUGGAAAUCAACUCUCAAUAAGUAUGGCUCCUGAAAACAUGAAUUUAAAAGACGAGGAAGCUAUAUUUACAACCCUGAUUAGAGAAAAUGACCCAGAGGUAAAUAUAGAUAAAAUUUACGAUCGAUUUGUACAUCUUGAUAACUUACCGGAAGAUGGACUUCAGUGUGUACUUUGUGUCGGACUUCAGUUUGGGAAAGUGGAUCACCAUAUAUACAUGAGUAAUAAAAACAAGGCAAUUCUUCAGUUAGAUAGCCCUGAAUCUGCUCAGUCAAUGUACAGCUUUCUGAAACAAAACCCACAGAACAUAGGUGACCAUGUAUUGACCUGCACAUUAUCUCCAAAGAUGGACUCAUCAGAGGUGAAAGCUGAGAAAGACUCAGAACUAGGAAAGGAAAGCCCUGACUUGAAAAACAGUCCAGUUGAUGAAAGUGAGGUGCAAACAGCAGCUGAUAGUCCCUCUAUUAAACCUAGUGAGGUUGAAGAAGAAUCUAUUCCCAACGUUCAAACAGGAACUUUUAUACAGCAGAAAGAGCCUUUUGAGGAAGAACCAGAAAAAACACUAUGUGUCUCUGAUUUUGCUCUUGAAACAUUUGAAGUUGAAACUCAAGGAGAGGAGGUCAAAGUGGAAAUUCCUCUUGUAGCAUCCACGUCAGCCAGUAUUGACUUAUUCACUGAAAAUGUAGGGGACUCUGUUUUAAAUCAGCAGGUGUAUACCAGUGACUUUGAGAAGGAAGAAACAGAUAUUAUUAACCCGGAAACAGAGUUAUCAACAUCUGAUAAUACAUUUAUAGAAGAAAAGAACAUCAAAGGAAUUCUAGAAGACUCUACAUCUGAAGCAGAUUUCUUUUCUGGAAUUACACAGUCUGUGAUAGAAGCUGUAGCUGAAGUAGACAAACAAGAAACUGUUUCAGAAAUAGUACCAUCUACUUGUGUUGUGGCCUUAGUACCUGGAAUUUCCACUGGGGAUGAGCAGGCAGUGAGCAUAAAGGGAAUUUCUGAAAAAACUAACAUGGAUGAGAAGGAGGAGAAUGAAUUAAAUACUAAGGAAGCCAGAAUGGAUCUGAAAAUAGGAAGAGAGAAGGCUGAGAAGAAUGAUGGGCUGGUUACAGAGAAGCUGGAUAAGGUUGUAGCUGCAGUGAAAGAAAAACCUGCAGAAAACUCAGUGACCAAGGCAUGUCCAAAUAAAACAGUGGUUCAGGCCGAUAAGCCUGAUAAAACUAGUAAAAUUAGUAUGCUGGGUGCAUCGAAUGCAUCUAGCAGUAAGUCAGGCCUCAAGACUGAUGUGGUCUCUUCUACAAAGGCAAAAGCUACAGCUGCAAAAUCUGAAAACCAGAAAAGUCUUCUAAAAUCUGUACUCAGAGAUCAAAUAAAUGCUGAAAAGAGGCUUUCAGCCAAGGAAUCAGGUCUGCUUAAACCUACAAGUACCAGGUCAGGCUUGGCUGAAAACAGCAGUAAAUUAAAACCCAUUCAGAGCGGUGUUACCAGAGGAAGCAGUGGAAGGAUCUCGGCCCUGCAAGGCAAAGAUUCUAAACUGGAUUACAGGGAUGUUACAAAACAGCCUCAGGAAACAGAGGCCAAACCUUCCACCAUGAAACGGGAUGACAGCAACAAUAAGACUUUGACCACGCAAAACACUAAGAAUCCUAAAAACACCACUGGUAGAAGUUCAAAAUCCAAAGAGGAACCUUUAUUUCCAUUUAAUUUGGAUGAAUUUGUUACUGUGGAUGAGGUUAUAGAAGAAGUAAAUCCUUUUCAAGUCAAGCAGAAUCCACUGAAGGGAAAAAGGAAAGAAGCUCUCAAAAAUACCCCUGCCUCUGAACUGACCUUGAAGAAGAAGAAGGGAAAGAUGUCUGCUCCUCGUGUGGUUGAGGGAGAGUUGUCUUUUGUAACAUUGGAUGAGAUUGGGGAAGAGGAAGACGCAGCUGCACAGCUAGCACAGGCUCUAGUCACUGUGGAUGAAGUAAUUGAUGAAGAUGACAUAAAUGUGGAAGACAUGGUUAAAAAUUCAAACUCACUUCUUACAUUAGAUGAGUUAAUUGAUCAAGACGACUGCAUUUCUCACAGUGAAACUAAAGAUGUUACUGUGCUGUCUGUGGCUGAAGAGCAAGAUCUUCUUAAACAAGAACGCUUGGUAACUGUGGAUGAAAUUGGGGAAGUAGAAGAGCUACCUUUAAAUGAGUCAACAGAUAUCAGUUUUGCUGCUUUAAAUACUAAAGGAGAUGAGGGAAAUACUGGAAGGGAUUCUAUUGGAUUCAUUUCUUCUCAGAUGCCUGAAGACCCUUCUACCUUAGUUACUGUAGACGAAAUACAGGAUGACAGCAGUGAUCUGCAUUUAGUGACUUUAGAUGAAGUAACUGAAGAGGAUGAAGACUCUCUGGCAGAUUUUAACAACCUUAAAGAAGAGCUUAAUUUUGUUACUGUUGAUGAAGUUGGAGAGGAAGAAGAUGGAGACAGUGAUUUAAAAAUUGAGUUAACACAGAGGAAAAAUGACCAUCCCACUGAUAAGAGAGGUGAUAGAAAAAAGAGAACUGUGGACAAAAAGAAGACAAAACUUGAAGCUUUGUCUCAAGUGGGCCCAGUAAAUGAGAAUGUUAUGGAAGAAAAUCCGAAAACCAUGAUUGAAAGACGCUCAGCAGCUACAGUGCCAACCAAGAGAGUUAGAAUUGGAAAAAUGCCACCAUCAGAAAAAGUUGUUAUAGUGGAACCAGUGAAAGAUGAAGAGGCCUUCCAAAUUAGUGAAGAUAAAGGUGCCUUUGGAAUGGUAGGAGCAAGUGUGUUUGAGAAAGCUUGUUACUCUGAAUCUGGAUUAGAGGAUUCAGAACCAGAACAGAAACGCAAGAAGACUGAGGACUCUUCAGGGAAAUCAGUGGCACCUGAUGUCCCUGAAGAUUUAGACUUUCUUGUACCAAAGGCUGGAUUCUUCUGUCCAAUUUGUUCCCUCUUCUACUCAGAUGAAAAAGCAAUGACAAAUCACUGCAAGAGUACACGUCAUAAGCAAAAUACAGAGAAGUUCAUGGCCAAGCAAAGAAAGGAAAAGGAGCAGAAUGAGGCUGAAGAAAGAAGCUCUAGGUGAUUGAGGGGGUGGGGGGAAGAAUUCAUUAGAAAUUUGUUUAGGGUCCAGUUGAUUUGUGUAUUUUUGUUAUCACUUAAUUUGUAAUUUUUGUUUCAGAAGCAAAUAUUCAUGUUGUACAAAUUUCUGAUUGCCCUUGAUGUAGAGAGACUGAUGGGGAAAGUAUGAUGGGUUUGAUUUUUAUAUCAAAUCAUCAGGCAUGGAGAAAUAUCUUUUAGAAGUGUUAAAAUAAAUGUUCCUACUGUAUAUUU